rnacentral:rRNA from 1 species
AACGUAGGUCACAAGCGUUGUCCGGAAUUACUGGGUGUAAAGGGAGCGCAGGCGGGAGAACAAGUUGGAAGUGAAAUCCAUGGGCUCAACCCAUGAAUUGCUUUCAAAACUGUUUUUCUUGAGUAGUGCAGAGGUAGGCGGAAUUCCCGGUGUAGCGGUGGAAUGCGUAGAUAUCGGGAGGAACACCAGUGGCGAAGGCGGCCUACUGGGCACCAACUGACGCUGAGGCUCGAAAGUGUGGGUAGCAAACAGG